CCUACGGGUGGCAGCAGUGGGGAAUAUUGCACAAUGGGGGAAACCCUGAUGCAGCGACGCCGCGUGAGCGAAGAAGUAAUUCGUUAUGUAAAGUUCUAUCAGCAGGGAAGAAAAUGACGUUUCCUGAGUCAGAAGCCCCGGCUAACUACGUGCCACCAGCCGCGGUAAUACGUAGGGGGCAAGCGGUAUCCGGAUUUACUGGUUGUAAAGGGAGCGUAGGCGGGAGUGGAAGUCUGGAGUGAAAGGCGGGGGCUCAACCCCCGUACUGCUCUGGAAACUGUACGGCUGGAGUGCGGGAGAGGUAAGUGGAAGUCCUAGUGUAGCGGUGAAAUGCGUAGAUAUCAGGAAGAACACCGGUGGCGAAGGCGGCCUGCUGGACUGCGACUGACGUUGAGGCCCGAAAGCGUGGGGAGCAAACAGGAUUAGAUACCCCUGUAGUC
rnacentral:rRNA from 1 species